rnacentral:piRNA from 1 species
UCACUGUCAAAUUUGUCCUCAGGAACAAC